rnacentral:lncRNA from 1 species
UUCCAAGCAUGCACCAUUUAAUUUAAGUCAAAUUUCUGGAUGUAUGCUCAACUACUUUUAAUUGCUCUCCAGCCAAGUGUGCCAGCCUGGGAUUAAGAGCCCUGGUCUUUAGCCCUGGCACUAACUCACUGUGUGACCUAGGACAACCCAUUUCCCCUGUGGGUCUGGAUUUUUCUAGAUGUACAAUGAAAGCCUUGGACCAGAUGAGCUCUAAGCCCUUUCCAACUUUGGCAUCUCUCAGGGUCUGUGAUUCCUGAAACAUCAGUGGUUCCUAGACAGGGGUGAAGGAUCUCCCCUUUUACCCCUUGGUGAACAAUCUUUGCCCUCAAGUUCCCUCAGGUGCCUUAGCCUGGCACCAGUUCACCACGGCAAGAGCUGCCUGUAAAAUCUAAUUCACAAUACAAGUUUCUGGGGCCUUCCUGCAGCUGUCAGCAGGUGUCACAUUCACAGUAUUUUGUCUUAAUUACAGCUCUGGGAUUUAUCAGCCAGGCUAGAGACCUCUUCUGGAAUACGACAUCCCCGGGAGCUGUUCCAGGUGCUCCUGUCCCUGCUGCUGCCACACACAGGCCUGUUCCCUGCCGAUGGGGCUGAAGUAGAUUCUGCUUUGCAUGCUGCUCCUGCUGUGUCUCCCACCACUACCUCACAGAGAGCCUGUGUGACAUAGAUAACUCCCACAGCCUUCCCAGGGAUCCAGAGGCAAAGACAUCUACCUGUUUGGGGCAGUGCCAAGGCUCCCACCAGCCCUGGAGCACUUCACAUCCGCUGUCCCAUCCCAAAACCUUGGUGGGCAGAGAAAUAGAGGCGAAAAAUGACUCUUGGAGAAGUUAAGUCACUUGAUCUGGACCACAUAGCAAGUACAGAAUUGGGGUCAGAGUUCCAAAGGCACCUUGCACACAGCCCUAGGAGGAGGUGACCUCCUGUGGUCAUCUGACGCUGACCCUUGGUGAUGGCUCACUGGUUCCCAACCACUUCCAACCUUCCUGCUGUCCUCACUGCUCUAGUCUGGUGGGGCAGUUUCCGGGUUAGCUGGCUGCCUCCUCUACUAACUCCCAGCCACUGACUUCCCAUCAGAGGACCUUCUCUGAGUUGAGACUGUGUGGAAAAGGCUAACAUUCCCUCCAAAAUGUGUGCUCCCUCUUCCAUAGGCCAGAGUGAGCCCUGUGAAGUAGCUGCAUUUCCCAGCCCUCUGCAGUAUAGAGAGAUGGGGGCAUGUCAUUAUUCUUGCCAAUGAUUCUGCCUGGGUGCACAGACUCAAUUCCUGGGGGACAGUGGAGCCACGGGAUGUAAAGGGCCUGCACCCCUGAAUGCCAGAAUGGAGGUGCACUGCCCCCAACCAGGGACAUGGACUGUUAGGUGAGCAAAAAAUAAAUUUUGAUUAGGAUAAGCCACUAAAAUGCUCACCUGUUACAGCAGAUAGCAUUGCCCUAACCCAGUAGUGAGGUGCCAACAAUGGGACACAUUCCGUGAUGUUCCCCAUUCAAUCCUUUGAUCCCCGCAACAGCCCCACAAGGUAUAUAUUAGUACUGUCAUCCUCAUUUUCAGGUAAGGCUCAGGGAGAUUAAGGGAUGCACCCAAGGUCAAACACAACCAGUAGGCAGUAGGCCAGGAUUGAAUCUGGAUGUCUGACUCCAGAGACUUCUGGAGGUUCAGUUACCAGCACACGGUGGAGAUCUUCCUCCACCACCACCACCUAGAGAGAAUGAGCAGGAAACCUCAGAAGAAAUGGCACCCAAAAGAGCCAGAAGUGUCGCCUCAGCCAGCUAAGGUUGGAACCACUUACCAACGCCCAGAAUCACGUCUUUCCAAUCAAACCCAAUGACUGUUCAUCUCUGGGUUUCAGUUUCCUGGUUUGUAAACUCCCAUGAGUAAACAAUCUCUGAUUAUCCCGACCACAGAGAGGGUUCAAUCAGGUGUGCUGGUGGUCUUCAAUCAAACAUGGAUUUACCUCCCCUAUUCUAUUCUUCAAAGAGGGUGACAAAUCUGCAACUCACUUGAAAUCCAUCAAUAAAAAAGAUUAAUAAACAGA